rnacentral:misc_RNA from 1 species
AACGUGCUUUCAACCGUCUUGAUUUCAACAUAGGAGUUGCAAGGAGGGCUUAUUAUUAUUAUUUUCCGCUUCCAAGUUCCAUCCUUUCCUAUCAUAACAAAGCCAUAAGCAAGGCCCUAUAUACCGCCGUAAGCUGUUGAGGUGGCGCCAUGAUUCGUCUGCAGAAUGCUUCUGAGCGCGCCGCCGCCGGUCAGGUCGACGAGACGAAACUGGCGCGCGACUCUGUAAUCGCCAAUACGGCCACAUUUUUCGUGCUGUGCGGCGUCAUCAGAGCCAUGCCGGCGAUUCUUGCGGCGUUCAGCGGCGAGUCGUGAGCCGUCGGCGGACCGCUCCCUACGUGCCGCUGACGAGCCGAGUCGACAUCGCCGCCCGGCCGUUCUGCCAGUGCGGUCGCCGACCUCCCAACCGGCCUCUGGAUGGGUGUGAAGGAUGUCCGGGGUCGAGCCGAGCAGGAUCAGUCAUAGGAUACCUCGGCGACAUUGUGAAUGAUUCUGAGCCAAAAUACACUGAGAGAGUGAUUGUGCAUGAUGUCAUGAAUGAAUGACUGCGAGAAACGUAUGCGUUCAUCAGACAAUUCAUCGUACUACAACAUCGUGGUGGCAUGGCAUUGUUGUUUAGUUGUAUUUGUGCAAUGCAUUCAUCGUGAAAUAUAACACUAAACUGAA